AAUAUAUACAUAUCUAUUUUAAAUACAAUUUAAAAUAAACAAAAUUAUUUAUUUUAUCUUAAUUUUAUGUUCAAUUAAAUAAUUUUUUUUAUUUAAUUAUUGAAAAGAAAAUAAUGAAAUAGGAAAAAUAUAAUAUUUUUUAAAAAAAAUUAAAUUUUUGUCACUGCACAUGGACAUGGUGCAGAAAAACACAUAGUAAAUUACUCCCUCUGUUUUUAAAAGAUGUAUAUUCUAAACUUUUCACAUAUAUUAAGAAAACUCAUUAAAUAUGCAUUGUUUUUUGUGAAUAAUACUUUUUUAUAACUUUUAGCCAAUAGAAAUUCAAUAAACACCAUUAAUUUUUUUAAAACUUACAAUUUUUCAUAAAAUUAUACAUUGAAAAAGUAAAAAAUGUAUCUUUUUGAAACAACUUUAAGGAUCAAAAUGACUAAAAUUUUUCAUUACCUACCCUCAUGUGACUAAUAUUACCUUUUUAAUGAAACAUUUUAGUCAUUUUGAUCCUUAGAGUCUAUAUUUGUAACAAAAACGUUUUUAGUGAUAUCCUAGGAUAUUUCCCUUGAUUAUAUUAAUUAAUUAUUUUGGGGGUUCAUGAAUUUUUGAAAAUCCACUAAUCACUUGCAAGUUCAAAUACUAAUGAAAUCAAUAGUUUGAUUAACAAUUUAAAAUUAUUUAGUUAUUAACUUACAUUGUAUCUCUUAGUGUAAUAUCGAUUUUGAAGGGGCUUUUUUUUAGCAUUAGGAUUUUGUAAAAGUCUAAGACUAACAAUUUGUUUUAUUAUAUCUGCGUAAGAGAAAUAUAAGAAUACAAGUUUUUGAAAUAAGACACUUCAAAUAGCAGAAAAUUCUUGUAUAUAAAAGAAAAGCUUACCAACUAACAAAUUCUUGUUGAUGUUUCAAGUUAUAAAAUAUGUAAAAUUGGUAUAAUCUUUUCUGCAUCUCUAUUGGAAAAUUUUCUUAGACAUCCAUAUAAACAGUUCAAUAAAAACAUAUAUUAAACGGUAUGGAGUGGUCCUAAAAUCACCAGAGUAAGAAAAUGAUUUUAAGUGUUUUAAUAGUUUUUUAUUUCCUUUCUGCUAAUUUAUUGUUGAAUUUAAUAACCCAAUUGUCACCUUCUACCAUUGCAUAAAUAUGAUUCUUUGAAUAAUUGAAGAACUAGGCUGUUAUUUUAAAAUAAUAGCAAAUAUAAGUUAGGAGUUUCCUAGAAUCGAAGAAUUAAACAAUAAUUUAUGUAAUUGCAGGAUUAGCAGAAGUUACAAAUUUAAAGUUUAGAAAUACCUCAUAUUUAAUCAAACAAUCACACUAUAAAUAGUUCAGUUGAGAUAUUUUUUUACAAGAGCCUCAUGGUAUUUAUUUUCAUCUUGCAUGUAUACAAAGAUGGAUAAAAUUCUCUGAUAUUAAAUAUAAUAGUUGUUUUCGACAAAAAUACAUAAUAUUUAUGAAUAAGUUAGAUUCUAAGAUAUAGAUAAAUUUGUUGAUGGUUUAAAUUUGAAAGAAUUGGUUGUUUGUUUAUAUAGAUACUAGUGUUCUUCCGUGCUAUGAACGGAUCAAUUUCACUGUUUAUUAAAUUACUUGAUCACGAAUUAAUUAUAUCUUUCACUAAAAAUUAUUAUUCUAGUCAAAUAUUCGACAAAAAUGAUAAGAGAUGGCUGCACUCGAACUAAGUAGUUGCAUUUAGCUAGAAAUUUUUUAUCACCUUUCUCUAGGAUUCAUCAUCGUCCCAGUUCCGAAGAUCCCUAUUUUUUUUGUAGUGGCAACGCUUAUUAUUCUAUUUUCGUAUAAAGAUGAUUCACGAUUCUCUAAUUUGAUGAAAAAUCUUUAGAAGCAUUAGUUGUUUUUUGUAUCCCUUUUCCCCUUCCUCACUAACAAUUAAGAUCUUUAUACUUUCUCUACUCUCUACUCUGUCUCUUGAUAUGGCAAUCUAAAGUUGACCUUGAAUAAAACGGUUCUGGAAAAUAUAUUCAACACGAUGAACUCUGACCUUGGCUAAAAUAGAUGUAAGAACUUAAAGAUAUUAUAUGCACUAUUAGAAUAAUAGAUUGGUAGCAUAUGGUGUAGUAUUGUUGGUAUUUUUAGGGCUAUUUAGCAAGAAUGUGGGGGUUUUAUGCGUGUUACAAGUCUGAACAGAUUGUGUUUCCAACAUAGUACAGUAAAAAAUCUAUAAAUUAGUAAUGUUGAGAUUGUAAUAUUUUAUUAAUUUAUAGAGUUAUUAAUUUACAAAAAAAAUUCUUUUAGAUUUUUCCUGUUUUUGAAUAUUUUUACUUAUAAAAUAAGAAAUAGAUGAUUUUACUAUAUAUACAUUAAUUAAAUUUUAGAAAUUAGACUUUCAUAUCAUUUUACUACAUUAUUUGGUGUAUACUUUUAUGUUUCAUAGAAUUCAAAUCUGAUUUCCGAUAUAACUUUACUAAAUAUUAUCAAAAUAUAUUAACAUUUUAAGAAAAAUAGCCAUAAAUUCAUUGUGAAUAUAAAACCAAAAAAUAAUGUUUAGUUUCUAAUUAUAUAAAAUAUAUAUAUAUACAUAUAUAUAUAUAUAGAUUAUUAAUUUAUUAUUUUAAUGGUACCAUAUAUUUACAUAGAACAUUCUAAAAAAAUAUAUUUUAUUAUUUUAUCGAUAUGUAUACCCAACUCAGGACCAGAAAUUUUUUAUCAGUUUACAGUGUUUAUUAAUUUACCGAGUAUUAAUUUAUAGAUUGUUACUGUACCAUGUAUGUUCCUUUUGAAAUACUAAAACUAAUGCAAAAGAUAGCAAUUUCGUAAAUAAGCCGAAAAACAUAUCUGUAAAUACUCAAUUUAUAGAUACAAAAUAACAUCUGUGUUGAUAAGCAUCGAUAUUUGAUAAUGGAGAAGAUAUAAAAUAUAAAACAGAGAGUAAACUAAAAGAUCAAAAAAUUAUGUAGAAGAAGAAAACCGUUUGAAAUCAUGAUUAACUGAUUUUGAACGUGGAUUCUGAGAAAAUUUAGGUUAGAGUUGCUGGAAAUUAGAGACGAAAAUUUGUUUAAAAUAAAUUUUAUAUUUGGUUUUCAUAAAACAUAUUCCAUAUAUAAAAAUUUAAUUGCUGAGUGACUUGUGCUUUAUUAUAUAAAAGAUAAUGACAUUCAAAUAGUAUUAGGAUUGAUAAUUUAUAGAUUAAGAGUUUUUUUGUCAUCAUUAAGAGAUUUUUUAUAAACAAGAAAUUUUAUAAUUAUUAAAAUUAUAAUUAAAUAUUAUUUUGAAAUUUUAAAUAAUUAAAAAUUUGUUUUAAAUCUACCUAACUAAUUUGCUUUCUUUUUCUAAUCAAGAAAAUGAGAUAUUAGAUAUUUUAAUAUCCUAAUAAAUUUUUAAGUAAUGUGAUUUAGGAAAUGAAUACAAAGAAAACCUUUGUAAAAUUGGAAUUUAUAUAAUAGGAAAUUCGUUUUUGCUAAGUAGGAAAAUUAAUAUAUCUAUUAAAGUGAUUUUAAAAAACUUAUUAAAAUAGAAAAAUUAGUAAUGGCAAUCAUGUAAAAUAAAUUUAAUUCAUCAAGGUUACCCUUGUAAUUGAUCAUCAUAAGAAUUAACCUGAGAAUUAUAUUAUAGAUAUUGUAUUUUAAGAAAUGUUUCAGAAAAUGUUAUAUCUUCCGCAUGUUUAAGGUUAUGGUCAACUUGGAAUAUAAUUUGAACAAUUUGCGAUAUUCUGUCAAUUUCGAAAAGGUCUCUACCAUAUCUAUUUCGCGUUGUGGAAUAUAUUAGGUGCCGACUCAAUAAGAUAUGCAUUGUUGCAGUUUACCAUAUUUUCCUAAGAAUACAAGUAGUGAAAUAUAAAAUUCUGCAAGGACUGGUUCUUGCUGUACAAGAAACAGAAAAUAAGAGAAAACUAAUAAAAGAUGUUAGAAAGAUUCUUAUAGAAAUAGACUUUCCCUUCUAUCGGGAUUGGAAUGUUGUCAUGACUCAUGAUUGGCAAUCAACCCUAAGGUUAAUGAGUUUAAACAUAUCUAGACGACUCAGUCAAGCCACUCCUUGACUCUCCUCCUCUUUGCACAACCAGGGGAGUUUUAUAGAGCCUCUCAAUUGUACACUCGUCUAGACACUCUACCACAAGUAUUGACCAAGUCAGGCCAUGUUUCAUCCAAAAGAUAUAGAUCCGACCCAGUUUGUAAUGGAUUCAACCUAGUUCAGAUUUUGAGAUAUAAGCUUAGCGUUAGGUUUUAUUAACCAGCUAGUCCUUCUUUUUGGGUGCAAAUCUAAUCCUUUUGGAUAUAAGAUUGAUAUUUAUCUCUUCUUCUUUUAAGAGGAUCUCUUCAUCUGUACAUUUACAAUUAUGCAAUUAAGCAUGGUUUAUUCAGUUUCAUCAUGUGCAUUAGUUUUGAUUGCUUCAAUUAUAAAAGAAUUACGCACAAAUAGUUAAAUCACAUAAAAAUGCACACAAUAGAAUAACAGAAGAAAUUAAAUAACAAAAGAAUAAUGAUGCCACAUCAAUUUGAAGGAAAUAAUAAAAUA